rnacentral:rRNA from 1 species
GAUGAACGCUGGCGGCGUGCUUAACACAUGCAAGUCGAACGGGAAUUCUUUUAUUGAAACUUCGGUCGAUAUGAUUUAAUUCUAGUGGCGGACGGGUGAGUAACGCGUGGGUAACCUGCCUUGUACAGGGGGAUAACAGUCAGAAAUGGCUGCUAAUACCGCAUAAGCGCACAGAGCUGCAUGGCUCCGUGUGAAAAACUACGGUGGUAUAAGAUGGACCCGCGUUGGAUUAGCUUGUUGGCAGGGUAACGGCCUACCAAGGCGACGAUCCAUAGCCGGCCUGAGAGGGUGAACGGCCACAUUGGGACUGAGACACGGCCCAGACUCCUACGGGAGGCAGCAGUGGGGAAUAUUGCACAAUGGGGGAAACCCUGAUGCAGCGACGCCGCGUGAAGGAAGAAGUAUCUCGGUAUGUAAACUUCUAUCAGCAGGGAAGAGAUUGACGGUACCUGACUAAGAAGCCCCGGCUAACUACGUG